rnacentral:rRNA from 1 species
UACGGGGGGGCAAGCGUUGUUCGGAAUUACUGGGCGUAAAGGGCUCGUAGGCGGCCAACUAAGUCAGACGUGAAAUCCCUCAGCUUAACUGGGGAACUGCGUCUGAUACUGGAUGGCUUGAGUUUGGGAGAGGGAUGCGGAAUUCCAGGUGUAGCGGUGAAAUGCGUAGAUAUCUGGAGGAACACCGGUGGCGAAGGCGGCAUCCUGGACCAACACUGACACUGAGGAGCGAA